AAAUUGCCACAAGCACUCCAGCCUAUGGCGACCAUCACCUCCUGAUCAGUCAGCAGCCAUUAAUAUUGAGUGGUCUGGAACUGAACCUGCAAUAUCUCCAAAGUACGCCUGUACUUAGAAUCAGUCUUGGCAUUUCAGGGCAUUGUGAAUCUUCAUUUAGGUUUAGGAGCAAGAUAAUGGAAUAGAAGCCUACAACAUUUGCUCUCCGACCCCACUGGAAAACCAAAUGACUCUUGGGUUUCCUGACACCAGGCCUAGGUGGUGGGACAGCAUUUCUGGACCUGCCCUGGGAAAGAAGGGAGCUUAACAGUCCUGAAAGGACAGACUAGUUCUCCGUCCCUUGCAGCUCAUGGGCUGAGUUCUGACCAAUGGGAUGUAGACAGAGAUGAUGCGCAAUCUUGAAAGGAUAUUACUCUGUCGCCCAAGCUGAAGUGCAGCGGCAUGACCAUAGCUCAUUGCAGUCUCAACCUCCUGGGUUCAAGUCAUCCCCGUGCCUCAGCCUCCCAAGUAGCUGGGACUGCAGGUGUGUGCCACCACUCCCAGCUAAUCUUUUAUUUUUUGUAGAGGUGGAGUCUCACUAUAUUGUCUAGGCUGAUCUCGAAUUCCUGGGCUCAAGCAAUCCUGCCACCUAGGCCUCCCCAAUUCUGGGAUUACAGGUGUGAGCCACCUUUCCCAGCCUUAGUAGUUUUGUCUUUAUAUAUAAAUUUUCCUAUCAGUUUGUGGAUAUCUUUGUAUAUUAAAAAAGCUUACUGAGGUUUUCAGUGGGAUUGCAUUAAAUCUUUAGAUCACAUUGGAAAGAAUAGCCAUUUUAGCUAUAUUGAGUCUUCUAAUCUAUAAACACAAAUUUCCUCUAAUUAUGUUUAUCUUCUUUGGUUUCUUUCAUUAGUGUUUUUUCAGGUUUUUGUGUAAGUCUUAAACAUAUUUUAUCAGAUUUAUACCAAAGUGCUUUGAUGUUUUGGAGCUAUUAUAAAUAUUUCAGAUUUCCUAACUUGAAAUUCAGAUUCUUGAUUGCUAUUAUAUAGCAAAGCCAUUUACUAUCAUACAUUGACCUUGUUUCUGAGCCCUUGCUCAACUUGCUUAUCAUUCCAGGAGUUGUGUUAUUGUGUUUUGUUUUUAAGAUUCUUAUAUUUUCUGCAUAGACAAUCAUGUCAUCUGCAAAUAGAGAUAAUUGUAUUUUUCUUUCCAAACUGUACAUUAAAAAAAUUUUUUUUCUUGUCUUAUUGAACUAGCUAGGACAUAGAGAGAAAUGUUGAAUAGGAGCGGUGAUUGAGGAUAUUCUUGUCUUGUUUCAAGUUUGUAUUCUUUAUUCUUGGAUUCCAAAUUAAGCCAACAUCAUUUCUUGAAGAGUCCAUUCUUCUCUGUUGAUCAACAAAUGUCCCUUUUUAAAUCAUACACCGAAUGUCCGUAUAUGAGUUGGUCUGUUUCUAUGUUAUCUCUUCUAUUCUGUUUGGUUUAUUUUUUACCCAACCACCAAUUCACAUAUUCUUGAUUACCAUAGUUUUAAUAGCAACUCUUAUUAUCUAGUAGGCAAUUUCCACAUCUUGUUCUUCUCCAGGGGAAUCUUGACUGUCCUUAACACUUCUUUUCUCCAUAAAAAUUUUAGAAUCAGCUUUCCAUCUUUUAUAAAAAUAACUGUUGGGGGUUCCACAGGGAUUCCAUUGACUCUAUAAAACAAUUUGGGUAGAAUUGAUAUAUUGACAAUAUUGAGCUUUUAAUUCACAAAAAUGUGUGUCUUAUCAUUCAAUGAUUUUCUUAAUUUUCUUGACUUAAUUCCAUAAAUUUUCUCUGUAAAGUUCACAUAAAUAUUUGUUAAAUUUAUUUCCAGAUACUUGCUAUUUUUAAUCUUAUUGUAAAUGGUAUUAAAAAUUAUAUUUAAAUUCUUGUUCUUCGUAAAUAGAUAUGCAAUUAACUUUGUUAUAAGGAAUAAAUACCUAAAAAAUUAACUUUCUUAUUAUUUCUUAUACAUUUUACUGCAGAUUGUUUUGUAUUAUCUAUAUACACAAUCAUAUCAUUUGUAAAAAUGACAAUUGUUUAUAAUUUCAACAUAUUUUGUUUUUACUCUUUGUCUUAUGGUGGAGGUGAAGACCUGCAAGAUAAGGUUGAAUAGUUGUGUACAGCAUCCUCGCCUCAAAUGGAGAUCUUUCAAAGUGUCACUCUUUAGCAGGAAAGAUUUCUUGCAACCUCAUGAAAGACCUUGACCAGCCAUGACUACCCAUCUAACAUGCUGUCUAAUUCCUGACCUAUGGACACUGAUUUCAAAGAGAGGCUGUUUGCUUGACUGAAGGAAGUGCCUUUUGACAGAAGAUGCAAUUUAUGUUAUAUGAAUGAUAUUUCUGAUGGCCAAAAGGACCUGUGAUAGCCUGAGAGUCAAAGACAAGCAGGAACGCAUCUGUAGUCAAACAAGGUCAGGUUUAUUUAGUGGACUGCAUCAAAUAAGAACACCCCCAAAUAGGAACUUGGGGCACCUCAGUAAUGGAGAUUUCACAGGAGUUGUUUAUAUGUUUGUGCUUGUGCUUGAUAUUCCCAAGGCAGAUAUGGAAUGAAUCCUGGCUUGGAUUGGUUCUUGUCAACAAGGAGGAGCAGGUUAGCAAUCAGAUUCUCGGUAUUCAUUGUUCAGGUGGUGCUGUAUGUCCCCUCCAAAAGCAUGUUGAAAUUUAAUUGCCAAUAUAAUUGUAUUGUGAGGUAGGACCUUUAAGAGGGGUUUGGCUCAUUGAAGCUCCACCCUCAUGAAUAGAUUAAUGUCAUUAUCGUGGGAGUGGGAUUGUUAUCAUGGGAAUGGGCUCCUGAUAAAAGAGUGGUUUCUGCCUGAUCUCCUCUUUCCCUCUCUCGCAUGCUCACUUGCCCUUCCACCAUAUUAUGAUGCAGCAGGAGGGCCCUCACCAGAUGCUGAUAACAUUUUUUUAACUUCUCAGCCCUCAAAACUGUGAAGAAUAAUUUCUUUCUUUUAUACAUCACCUAGUCUGUGCUAUUCUGUUAUAGCAGAAGACAAUAAACUAAGACAGACAUCGGGAAAACAACACGGGCUUGGGGACAUCAUUUAUAAGAAAGUGAUAAUCACUCAGAGAAAAAAAUGAUUAGUCAUAUUUUCAGCUAUAGUGUGGCCUUUUGUAUAAGCACUGUAUACAAAAAUGCUAUAUCCCAUUGGAAGCAUUUUUUUUUUUUUUUGAGAAGGAGUCUCACUCUGUAACUCAGGCUAGAGUGCAGUGGCACGAUCUCGGCUCACUGCAACCUCCUCCUCCUGGGGUCAAGCGAUUCUCCUGCCUCAGCCUCCCGAGUAGCUGGGACUACAGGUGUGCACCACCGGGCCCAGGUAAUUUUUUUGUAUUUUUGGUAGAGACAGGAUUUUACCAUGUUGGCCAGGCUGGUCUCGAACUCCUGACCUUUUCACUUUCUCAAAAAGAAUAUUGUGACACAACCAUGAAGUGAAGAGUUCUAAGAUCCAACAUAGUCUCACUGAGUUGAUGCAUGUUUUUACCUGACUUCUGAUCAUUUUAUAAACAAUUAAAAUAGUACAGCGGGACAGGACCUUAGAAAUUGUCAUUAUAUGUAUGGAGAGCCUGGAGCACAUUCCCAGGGUCUGCCAAGCAGUUUGUGCCAAAAGAAGGAUUAGGACCCAGAUCUCUGACAAUUAGACAAGGAUCCUUCACAGGACAUCUAUUUUCAUCCUGGUACACACACACACACCUGUACCAAUUUCAGGGGUAAAGUAUUUUGCAAGUGAUUUACUACUAAUAAGAGUGAAAAUACUGGAGUGAUUCUCUAUUACUGUUUUCUCACUGUAAAAAUUUCAAGCAUACAAUCAUAAUAAAGUUAUCUCUUUACUUCAAUCUCCUUUCUCAUCUCCAUAUGGAUAAAUAUGUGUAUCUGACUAUUAUAUUAAAGUAAUGAUAUAGUAGUACAUAUUGUUUUGCUGUUGGCUUUUCCCAAUUAAUAACACACUUUGGAUACUGUUCUGUGUCAGUGUCAAUAAAAUCUGUAAACAUAGAUAACAUUAUUUUAUUAUUUUACAAGGUGAAGAUGUCCUUAAUGAUAUUCAAUAUACUUUUCUACAUUUACAGACUAUGUACAUUUUGUAGAUAGAACUUUUUUAUUAAAAUUAACGUUAUUAACCAUUUAUUUAAAAUACUCACAAAUAUUUUUAUUCAAAAAUUAUCUUGAGUAGUAAGGUUAUUGAGAUGCACAAUAAAUGAGCUACGUACUGCUUAUGAGAGAUGGUAGGCCAUUCUUUCUGUGGAUCAUAAGAAAUAUUUUAAAUAAAUAAAUAGUUUGAAU
rnacentral:lncRNA from 10 species